CUCUGUCUCUUUUCCCUCACAGCACUCUCUGCUCUGGCUGUCUCUUUUCCCUCAGAGCACUCUCAGGUCUGGCUGUCUCUUUUCCCUCACAGCAGUCUCUGUCUGUCUCUUUUUCCUCAGAGCUGUCUCUGUCUGUCUCUUUUUUCCUCAGAGCACUCUCAGGUCUGGCUGUCUCUUUUCCCUCAGAGCUGUCUCAGGUCUGGCUGUCUCUUUUCCCUCAGAGCUGUCUCAGGUCUGGCUGUCUCUUUUCCCUCAGAGCUGUCUCAGUGCUAUGGUCGCUGUGGCCGCCCUGCGGCAGUCCGAGUAGCCGGCGAUAGGGGAAGGAGAGCCGGUGCCUGUGAUCCCCAUCCUCGGCUCAGCAUCCCCAGG